UCUUAAUUUAGGCAUACCAAGCUUCUUUUUAAAUCUAAGGUUUUUUAUUAUUUAUUUUCUUUUAUCUGUAUAGUGAAUAUGAUAUCUAACCAAAGAGCUGCAUUCUCAACCAACAUCAAUGAUUUAGUCAGUUGACUAACUAUUAUGACAACACUAGUGAGUACUUAAUUGGAUUGAAAUAAAAUUCAUCUUGUCAGUGGAAGGACGUCCUGAUUCUGAAUUUCUUUAUUUUCCUGACUCAGGUCUAUAGGUCAGCACUGAUAACCUGAUAUUGUUUGCUUGGUUACAGUUCCACAAUGUUCCCAUGUAUUAACCUAAAUCUCACAUGACUGUUGGUUGAACUGCAAAAAUUGAACUCCAUUUAUAACUAUCAUUCAGUCCCAUGAUUGUGCUGGGAAUGGCUCUAUAGUUGGUAUUAAAGUAAUAACUUUUUUAGUGGGUGAAUGAG
rnacentral:misc_RNA from 1 species